rnacentral:rRNA from 1 species
AGAGUUUGAUCCUGGCUCAGGAUGAACGCUAGCUACAGGCUUAACACAUGCAAGUCGAGGGGCAGCAUGGUCUUAGCUUGCUAAGGCCGAUGGCGACCGGCGCACGGGUGAGUAACGCGUAUCCAACCUGCCUUACACUCUUGGACAGCCUACUGAAAGGGAGAUUAAUACAAGAUGUUAUCAUGAGUAAGCAUUUUCGCAUGAUUAAAGGUUUACCGGUGUAAGAUGGGGAUGCGUUCCAUUAGAUAGUAGGCGGGGUAACGGCCCACCUAGUCUUCGAUGCGUAGGGGUUCUGAGAGGAAGGUCCCCCACACUGGUACUGAGACACGGACCAGACUCCUACGGGAGGCAGCAGUGAGGAAUAUUGGUCAAUGGGCGGAAGCCUGAACCAGCCAUGUCGCGUGAGGGAAGACGGUCCUAUGGAUUGUAAACCUCUUUUGUCGGGGAGCAAGGGGCGCCACGAGUGGCGUCAAGCGAGAGUACCCGAAGAAAAAGCAUCGGCUAACUCCGUGCCAGCAGCCGCGGUAAUACGGAGGAUGCGAGCGUUAUCCGGAUUUAUUGGGUUUAAAGGGUGCGUAGGCGGGACGCCAAGUCAGCGGUAAAAUGUCGGGGCUCAACCCCGUUGUGCCGUUGAAACUGGCGUUCUUGAGUGGGCGAGAAGUAUGCGGAAUGCGUGGUGUAGCGGUGAAAUGCAUAGAUAUCACGCAGAACUCCGAUCGCGAAGGCAGCAUACCGGCGCCCUACUGACGCUGAAGCACGAAAGCGUGGGUAUCAAACAGGCUUAGAUACCCUGGUAGUCCACGCAGUAAACGAUGAACACUAAUUGUUCCGGCGCGAAUGAGCGCUGGGUGAUACAGCGAAAGCGUUAAGUGUUCCACCUGGGGAGUACGCCGGCAACGGUGAAACUCAAAGGAAUUGACGGGGGCCCGCACAAGCGGAGGAACAUGUGGUUUAAUUCGAUGAUACGCGAGGAACCUUACCCGGGCUCAAACGACGCAGGAAUGUUUUUGAAAGGAGGCAGCCCUUCGGGGCCUGCGUCGAGGUGCUGCAUGGUUGUCGUCAGCUCGUGCCGUGAGGUGUCGGCUUAAGUGCCAUAACGAGCGCAACCCCCAUUGACAGUUGCUAACAGGUAAAGCUGAGGACUCUGUCGAGACUGCCGGCGCAAGCUGUGAGGAAGGCGGGGAUGACGUCAAAUCAGCACGGCCCUUACGUCCGGGGCGACACACGUGUUACAAUGGCAGGUACAGCGGGAGGCCACCUGGCGACAGGGAGCGGAACCCGAAAGCCUGUCUCAGUUCGGAUUGGAGUCUGCAACCCGACUCCAUGAAGCUGGAUUCGCUAGUAAUCGCGCAUCAGCCACGGCGCGGUGAAUACGUUCCCGGGCCUUGUACUCACCGCCCGUCA